rnacentral:rRNA from 1 species
UACGUAGGUGGCAAGCGUUGUCCGGAAUUAUUGGGCGUAAAGCGCGCGCAGGCGGCUUCUUAAGUCUGAUGUGAAAUCUCGGGGCUCAACCCCGAGCGGCCAUUGGAAACUGGGAAGCUUGAGUGCAGAAGAGGAGAGUGGAAUUCCACGUGUAGCGGUGAAAUGCGUAGAUAUGUGGAGGAACACCAGUGGCGAAGGCGACUCUCUGGUCUGUAACUGACGCUGAGGCG